CCUAAUCAUCAUAUAUCUCUCUUUUUUUUCUUUCUCAAAGCCUCUUAAAGGCCGAAAAAUAGGGUUAGGGUUAGGUAUAAUGAUGAUGAAGAAGAAAAAAUAUGUAUAUAUAUGUGGUGGGUUUGAGGGGGAUGUUGUCUGGCUCGACACAAUUACUCUCUUGUGUGUGUAUAUUCGUCAUCAAGAUUGAUCUUGAUGAUGAAUGAAUUAAACACAAUAAGUUGUAAAAAAGGAGUAAAGGCGUCGGACCAGGCUUCAUUCCUCUCAAACAAUAUUCUACUUCUAAACCAAAAACACUUGUGUUCGGCUGCUUUUUCUCUACCAAACUAGGGUUUCCUUCCAAGAAAAAAACAUGAAGAUUAUAUACAUAUAUAUACCCUUGUAAUUGUUAAGGUUAUUUUUGUACAUGAUUUAAUUUUUGUAAUCAUGAAAUUAAGUCACUGAUUAUUAAUUUUGGAGAAGGUGUUUUUUUUUUUUCAAGGAGGGGUUAGACACAAAUCAUGUACACCAAGUAUAUUUUGUUGGCUAAUUAAAAAUUAUGGUGACAAAAUGUUCAAUGUUGUACUCUUUUAGUAUUUAAUUAAUAAUUAGAUCUUUUCAUGUAA